GUGCCAGCCGCGCGGUAAUACCGGCAGCUCGAGUGAUGUCCAAUAUUAUUGGGCCUAAAGCGUCCGUAGCUGGCCGCGCAAGCCCGUCGGGAAAUCCACCUGCCCAACAGGUGGGCGUCCGGCGGAAACUGUGUGGCUUGGAACCGGAAGGCGCGACGGGUACGUCCGGGGUAGGAGUGAAAUCCCGUAAUCCUGGACGGACCGCCGAUGGCGAAAGCACGUCGCGAAGACGGAUCCGACAGUGAGGGACGAAAGCUAGGGUCUCGAACCGGAUUAGAAACCCGAGUAGUCC
rnacentral:rRNA from 1 species